rnacentral:lncRNA from 1 species
CAUUUAAAGAAGGCUACGUCUAGACCUGAAUGAAGAAUCCCUUAGUCUUCCGGUCGAGGCAUAUUAUCUAAGCGACUCUCCUUUCAGUCUCACUUCCUACGUACCAAAGCUUUAGAGAGGGAAUUUUUUAUCUAAGGCAAAGUAUCCCUAGGAUUUCAUUAAUAAGAUAUAUUCCUUACAAGUAAGGGUGCAGAUGAAGCAACGCUCAAGCCUAUAUCUAACGAGUAUAUCUUAAUCUUUUCCGUAGGACACUUCUGUUGGAAUGGUAGAGAAAAAGGGUUUGAACCUAGUGCACCGAACUGUCUGAGAACGUUUGCACCGAACGCCUGAGAAUGUCUUCAUCGAUCACCAGUGAAUGACUUCACCGAACACUAGAGAACGACUUCACCGGACGCUUGAGAACGAACUAGCAAAGUACUAUUGCACCGAACGCUAAUGAACGUACCAGCAGAACAUUGUUGCACCGAACGGUCAAGUGUUUGAACCUAGUGCACCGAACCGAACAGUCUAAGAACGCUUGCAUCAAAUGCUUGAGAACAUACCAACAGAGCAUUGUUGCACCAAACGGUCAAGUACUGUUGCACUGAACGAUCAAUGAAGUGACCAGAAAAAGAAAAGAACAAAACUCAAAAUGUGCUGAAAAUUGUAUAUUAUUCACUAACUCACUUACAGUCUAACUCUGAAAAUAGGUACAAGUGUUCAGUUUUUAUAAUAGAAAACUACAAUUGCCAAAGACAAUAUUAA